GAUGAACGCUGGCGGCGUGCCUAAUACAUGCAAGUCGAGCGAACAGACGAGGAGCUUGCUCCUCUGACGUUAGCGGCGGACGGGUGAGUAACACGUGGAUAACCUACCUAUAAGACUGGGAUAAUUACGGGAAACCGGAGCUAAUACCGGAGAAUAUAUUGAACCGCAUGGUUCAAUGGUGAAAGACGGUUUUGCUGUCACUUAUAGAUGGAUCCGCGCCGCAUUAGCUGGUUGGGACGGUAACGGCUUACCAAGGGAACGAGGCGUAGACGACGUGAGAGAGUGGUCGGCCACACGGGAACUGAGACACGGUCCAUACUCCUACGGGAGGCAGCAGAAGGGAAUCUUCCGCAGUGGGCGAAAGCUUGACGGAGCAGCGCCGCGUGAGUGAUGAAGGUCUUCGGAUCGUAAAACUCUGUUAUUAGGGAAGAACAAAUGUGUCAGUAACUAUGCCCGUCUUGACGGUAACUAAUCAGAAAGCAACGGCUAACUACGUG
rnacentral:rRNA from 1 species